CCUAGAUUUUUUUUCUUUCCUCUUUUUUUUCUUUGUUUCUUCUCUCUUGGUCCAGCGACUGGCCCGUCGCCGUCCUCCUCCUCCCUCUUUCUCUUAUUUUUCCGGCCACUGGAGCUAAACGAACCCACCCUCUCCUCCUCGUCACACCACCAGCGUCUCUCCUUCUCUCUCCCUGUCUCCGUCUUCAAUGAACGCAGCAGGCGAGUGAGCUGCGAUUCUCCUUGGCGGCGACGCAGCAGCACUCCAACCCUUGCAAUUUCAGCCGCCGAUCGCCCCUGCUCAGGUCAUGCCUCCUCCUCGCUCGCGACUCUGGCGAGCGCUGUAACACAGGUGAGCAGUAGAUUCUUUAUCGACGGCGACGACGGCAGCGGCACUUGGCUCCUGUUGAGCCUGCUACGGUCGAAUAGAAGGCCAAUCUCGCACAACUAACGCCAAAAACGGACUCCUCGAUGAAAACUGAGCCGGGUGGUGCAAAGAAUGGUCGAUUCUGGGUAGCCAUGGUUUUUGGCCACAUAGACAGCGGCGGUCCGGCAACAGGCCGGCGAGCCCCAAGAGGCAGAACCACCCCUUCCUCGCGCGGAUUGUUGAAUCGUCGUCCUAUUUUCGAUCGGAAGUAGAUUCUUCUUUGUCCUAGCCAAAGCUCUAUUUCCUUCACGCAGAGCUAGAAAAGUAACUCCUUAAUUCCAAUAAUUAUUUAAAUUAUAUAGUUAUAUGUACUAAAACUUAUUUAUAUUUAUCUGUUAGUGAACUUUGCAGUUGUAGGAUUGUAACUGUUAAACUUAGGUAAAUGUAUGAACCAGUUAGUUCAUAUUAUGAAUGUUUCGUAUUAUAAUUGGGCCCGACCUAUAAAAUAUUUAAGAUCCUAGAUUUGGGCCAAAGUGCAAUAUAAUUAUUAGAUUUAUCA